UCAAAUGAAUUGACGGGGGCCCGCACAAGCGGUGGAGCAUGUGGUUUAAUUCGAUGCAACGCGAAGAACCUUACCUGGUCUUGACAUCCACAGAACUUAGCAGAGAUGCUUUGGUGCCUUCGGGAACUGUGAGACAGGUGCUGCAUGGCUGUCGUCAGCUCGUGUUGUGAAAUGUUGGGUUAAGUCCCGCAACGAGCGCAACCCUUAU
rnacentral:rRNA from 1 species